UACGUAGGUGGCGAGCGUUGUCCGGAUUUACUGGGCGUAAAGGGAGCGUAGGCGGACUUUUAAGUGAGAUGUGAAAUACUCGGGCUCAACUUGAGUGCUGCAUUUUAAACUGGAAGUCUAGAGUGCAGGAGAGGAGAAUGGAAUUCCUAGUGUAGCGGUGAAAUGCGUAGAGAUUAGGAAGAACACCAGUGGCGAAGGCGAUUCUCUGGACUGUAACUGACGCUGAGGCUCGAAAGCGUGGGGAGCAAACAGG
rnacentral:rRNA from 1 species